GGUGGUUCAGUGGUAGAGCACCUGCCUUGCAUGUAUGAGGCCCUGGGUUCGAUUCCCCAGCACCA
rnacentral:tRNA from 1 species